GAUGAACGCUGGCGGCGUGCCUAAUACAUGCAAGUCGAGCGAACGGACGAGAAGCUUGCUUCUCUGAUGUUAGCGGCGGACGGGUGAGUAACACGUGGAUAACCUACCUAUAAGACUGGGAUAACUUCGGGAAACCGGAGCUAAUACCGGAUAAUAUUUUGAACCGCAUGGUUCAAAAGUGAAAGACGGUCUUGCUGUCACUUAUAGAUGGAUCCGCGCUGCAUUAGCUAGUUGGUAAGGUAACGGCUUACCAAGGCAACGAUGCAUAGCCGACCUGAGAGGGUGAUCGGCCACACUGGAACUGAGACACGGUCCAGACUCCUACGGGAGGCAGCAGUAGGGAAUCUUCCGCAAUGGGCGAAAGCCUGACGGAGCAACGCCGCGUGAGUGAUGAAGGUCUUCGGAUCGUAAAACUCUGUUAUUAGGGAAGAACAUAUGAGUAAGUAACUGUGCACAUCUUGACGGUACCUAAUCAGAAAGCCACGGCUAACUACGUG
rnacentral:rRNA from 1 species